rnacentral:rRNA from 1 species
GACGAACGCUGGCGGCGUGCUUAACACAUGCAAGUCGAACGAGGUCCUACCAGUGGCAACACUGGGAAAGACCUAGUGGCGAACGGGUGAGUAACACGUGAGGAACCUGCCCCGAAGAUCGGGAUAACCCUCCGAAAGGAGGGCUAAUACCGGAUGCCCUCCACUGAUCGCAUGUCCGGUGGAGGAAAGGGUUACUGCUUCGGGAGGGCCUCGCGGCCUAUCAGCUUGUUGGUGAGGUAACGGCUCACCAAGGCGACGACGGGUAGCUGGUCUGAGAGGACGAUCAGCCACACUGGGACUGAGACACGGCCCAGACUCCUACGGGAGGCAGCAGUGGGGAAUCUUGCGCAAUGGGCGAAAGCCUGACGCAGCAACGCCGCGUGCGGGAUGAAGGCCUUCGGGUUGUAAACCGCUUUCAGUGGGGACGAAUUCAGACGGUACCCACAGAAGAAGCCCCGGCCAACUACGUGCCAGCAGCCGCAGUAAAAC